rnacentral:rRNA from 1 species
AACGUAGGACGCAAGCGUUAUCCGGAGUUACUGGGCGUAAAGCGCGCGCAGGCGGCUCGACAAGUUCGCUGUGAAAGCUCCCGGCUCAACCGGGCGAGGCCAGUGGAAACUAUCGAGCUGGAGGGCAGUAGAGGCAGGCGGAAUUCCGGGUGGAGUGGUGAAAUGCGUAGAGAUCCACAGGAACUCCGGUGGCGAAGGCGGCGUGCUGGACCCCAUCUGACGCUGAGGCGCGAAAGCCAGGGGAGCGAACGGG